rnacentral:tRNA from 1 species
UAAUGAUGAGGUCCCUUGUUCGAACCAGGGUGGGGGCAGCCCUUAUAGCUCAGUGGUAGAGCGCAUCACUCGUAUC